rnacentral:rRNA from 1 species
CUCCUACGGGAGGCAGCAGUGGGGAAUAUUGGACAAUGGGCGCAAGCCUGAUCCAGCCAUGCCGCGUGUGUGAAGAAGGCCUUUUGGUUGUAAAGCACUUUAAGCGAGGAGGAGGCUACUUGGAUUAAUACUCUAGGAUAGUGACGUUACUCGC